GACGAACGCUGGCGGCGUGCUUAACACAUGCAAGUCGAACGGGGCUGCUAUGAUGGAGUUUUCGGACAACUGAUUAGUAUGCCUAGUGGCGGACGGGUGAGUAACGCGUGAGUAACCUGCCUUUCAGAGGGGGACAACAGCUGGAAACGGCUGCUAAUACCGCAUAAUGCAUCAAUUUCGCAUGUUAUUGAUGCCAAAGGAGCAAUCCGCCUUUAGAUGAGCUCGCGUCUGAUUAGCUAGUUGGCGGGGUAACGGCCUACCAAGGCGACGAUCAGUAGCCGGACUGAGAGGUUGAACGGCCACAUUGGGACUGAGACACGGCCCAA
rnacentral:rRNA from 1 species